ensembl:lncRNA
AGAGAGAGAGAGAGAGAGAGAGAGAGAGAGAGAGAUGCGUGCAUGUAGAGAAAAAAAACACAAGGAACUUUAAUAUACGUUUGAUCUUUUCUUUUGCCAUUCUUGUCCUUUACACGCACCCACGCGCGCGCGCGCGCACACACACACACACACACACACACACACACACACACACAGGUGAGAGUGAAUCGGAGAAGUGGGAGUGGUGCGUGUAUUUAACUGGUAGAGCAGCUUUUGCAGCGAUCCAUAUUCACCACACACUCGCAUCACAUCACAUCCACUCUUCACUGCAGCGUGACCCGCGGAGCAGCUCGUAGCGCGGCUGUGUCGGUCCUCCGCAUGGAUAUGAAGAACAUGAGAGAGUAUGUGGGCUGGCUGUACUAUCAGUACCUGCUCAUCACAGGCAUCUAUGUGCUGGAGCCGUGGGAACAGUCCAUCUUCAACACACUCCUCUUUACUAUGGUGGCCAUGGUCAUUUACACCUCCUAUGUGUUUGUGCCUAUUCACGUGCGGCUGGCGCUGGAGUUCUUCUCUGAGCUGGUCCGAGGGCAACCCGAGAGCACAGUGGCCCUCAUGAACUUACGAUGAACUAUUGAUCUGCAGUGUGAUUAUUGGCUUGAAAACCCUUGUUUAUUUUCUACUCAGGAACAAACAAGCCAGAUGUAAUGAGGUGUUGUCAAAAGCCAUGUUCAAGCCCUUCAAGUCUUCCACGUUUGCCUGGUUUCCUGCACCAUCGUGGGAUUUUGUGUGCAAGGAUUUGGAUGGAUUCCCACGGGAGGUUUUUGUACGAUAUCACUCAUCACAUGUGGACACUACUUUGCAAUCAACGUCCUCGUCAUCACUGGUUGAUAAUAAGGAAAUCAUGAUACACCAUGAUCAGACUGAGAUAUUGUUUGCUCCAGAGCAAAUUAAAAGUUGUUUUUUAUUAUUGCAUACUGAAUUUUUUAUAUUCUGGGAGUUUUGUAAUCACUUAUUCAAUGUGACUGCUCUGCAUGUUUAUUUCUGAAUACAGAUUGCUGCACUUGAUCACAAAUCAGUGGGCUGUCAACGGGGCCCGUUGAUUCUGGUGGUGGUCUGACUGUCUUCCAUCAUUUCUUUAGUCACUGCUGCUGAUAUAGAAUUGCAUGCACACAAAUGUGAGAUCUGGAACAAGCAUCAUUCACAAAUGUAUUGGCACUUGAACAUUUAUUUGUUAAAUACCUGUGGUUAAUGUUGCAGCCACUAAAAGAAUGCUCGGUUGAUCACACGUUUAAAUCAAUUCCACAGAUUUUGGAUUUCCUUUGGCCUUAUGCAUUAUUCAUUACAAACUUGCCUCAUGGAAUAACACAGUGGCAAGUAGUGUAGAGUGACACUUUUAAUGUGUAUAAUAGUGUAUUUUUCAGGAAUAAAUACAUUUCACAAAAUACCUGUCCCAUUU